CCUCCCUCUCUCCCUCUCUCUCUCAUCAUCAUCAUCAUCUUGGAACUGCAGGAGACGAUGAUGUCGUGUUGGGCUCGGACCUUGUUGACCGCCAUCUUGGCCUGCAAGAGGAUGCUCCCCUGCUCCGACUUGCUCAGCACAUGGUUAGAAACAUAUUCACCCGUCAUUCUGCUUGGCUGAGUUAAUCCAUCUGUCUAGUUUGAUGUUUCCCUUUCAAUCUGUAACUCUUAUGGUUUCAUGCAAAUUCUGGUUUCUGGUUUCAGGUUACUGAAAAUUCUGGUUUCCUGUAACUAUCAGGUGGUCUGAUGCAGGUUCAUGAGGUACUUUGUGACAUAUACUUGCUUUUUCGUUAUGUAUGCCUAGAUUAUUUAUUUGCUUCAGCUACACUUUUUUGGGAUGAUCUGGGAUUAAUAAUUGUUGAACUAAGAAGAUACGUCAUGUGUCUCUAUAUGAUUAUUCCAUAUCAAAAAAAUUAAGAGUACAUCAGCUGUACUGAAUGGUUAUAAAUAUGACUUUUACCACUAUCUGAAUUAACCGAUGGAACUUAUAUUGUGCUGGAGUGAGAUAUCUGAAUACUAUCAGCUAUUAUACACAAUUAAGAAGAAAGCUUAAUGUUUAUCUAUGAUGGUAUAUAAGAGCUAGAAAGUAAAAUAUUGAAAAUCAUAAAUCAAUGAUAGAUAGAAUCGUAGGUAAUUAAAAUAACCAGGUGUUGUUUCUUUUCUUAUAGUUCUGGAAGUUUUGUUAGUGCCAUGCAUCUUCAUAAACAGAUGCGAUAUUUUCCAAUUGAAAGGUAGCAAUGUCUAAAGUUAAAUGGUUUCCAUAUAGUUAAGUUUAGUGUUUGGCUAAUGAUUAUUUUAAGUUAAAUGGCCUGGUAACUGAUGCACAUUUGUUUUCAUUCUUUGUCCUGAAAAAUUGUUGCAUGCUCGUGUUGUGUGCAUACAUGUAAGGUUCAUGCACCUUGUGUUCUUUCAGGUUAUUGUCAACAGAAGCAGUUCAUAGAUAGGGAUUAGAGGAAGCAGCUUAUAAAUGGGGACAAUGUUGUUACUGUUUCUUUUCCUUAUAUUUGCGGGGAUGCCAGGGCUGACUGCCUUGUGCGUACCAUGGUGAGGAGUAGCAAUAGUACGUCGGUUCAGUCAUAAUGGCAAUGUUCUUUGUUGUCUUGUAUUAUUCAACCACAUAUGUUUGCCUCUUUCUAAUGGCCACUGUAACUUGAAAAUUUGCAGUGCAUAUUUGCUCCCUCUAGCGAGCACCACGGAGGAGGUGAGGGGCCAUUAGGGAGUAAAUAAAACAUUUGAUGAGUGUUGCAUGCCCGCGCGCGUUGUCGGAGAGGUCAGAUCACUGCAGUUUUGUGGUACCACAAAAAUCGUUUUAUUUUCCUUAAUUGUAACUCUAAAUUAUGUCCAGAUCACCCAUGUCUAUUUUCCUUCAUGGAUAGUGUAUUCUCAUUUUUCAACUAGACAAAUUUUAUCCUUUGAAUUACUGCAAUAUAAGUUGGCACGAACAAUUCUAUUUAAAGAUAUACUAUCCGAGGCGUGAAAAAGAAGAUGGCGUAGGUUGAUGGUCUAGCUAUUUUAUAAUCCCUUUUAUUGAGAUCAGAUGAAGUUUAGUCUGGUCUUGCUCUGAAUUUCUUUGCAUUGUUUGGUAUCCAAAUUAGCGUUAGGUUUCAGAUAGCAGAGUAAUUGAUGAGCGGCACACAUGACCAUGAUGAGCGGCACACAUGAGCACAUACGGUUCUUUGAACAAACACACACACACGCGCGCGCACACACACGCAAACACAGACUCAGACGUGCACAGAUUUUUGAGGUACUCACAAACAUGAAGCACGUACUUUGUUGUUCAGUAAAAUAUGCGUUAGAACCUUUUUUUUUCUUACCAGAUAAUUUAGCAGGCAUACAUGAACAAAUGAGAAAUGAGUGAUUCUAACAUGAGAAGAUGAGGGAUGACAUAUGCCUACUCGUCAUGAAGCAUAUCAGCAUGUGGAUUAAUAAUAGAAAGGGGAGGAAACUUGCUUCUCUGCAUUUUUAUUAUAGUUUAAAAGGGCAAAUUGUCGACAUUCUAAAUGUUAGGAAAGGAACCUACAGAGUCCAUGUGUAAGUAUUCAGAUUAAUGCUCUGAAAGUAUUAUAAUCCACACUCGAAUGUAUUAAUACUCACACAAUAGACAGGCCAUGGCAGGCAGCAAAUGUAUAUGUCAAUUUAUGAUGUUUUUCACAUGAUAAUAACACUAUCAGCAUGCUAAUUAUAUGUUGUGGAGGUGGCGAGGUACUAGAUCCGCUAUCAUCAUAGUACCGAUUGUAAAACAAAAUACAUCCAGAGCUGACCGAGAUAGACCAGCAACCAUUACCAUAGACAAUGCCUUUUCAGGUUUUCCCUUGUAUUAAACUACAGGUUACGCUCGCUAUUGGUUCGGUGUCCAAACAGUUUCAUGUUAGAUUUAGUAGUAUAAUUAGGUGACACAAGAAACUAGACAAAGGCUGGUUUGAUCCAUACACAUAUGGACUGACAACAACAACCAAAUCUUUAGAUAGGAAAAAAUAGCUAAACAUGGUUAUAAAGUUUUGGCUAUUUUUUGGAUUGAAGAAAUAUGACGUCUGCUGUAGCUCUAAAUGCCUACCGUUCUCUUUCCUUGGCAAUGUUUGUGCCUUCUGAGAAUAGGUUUGCUGUCAAGUGACGUCAUGCAACAUGGAUUUAGAACGAAGAGUAAGAUAUGUUUCCGUACAACGACUACUGGAUCGAUAGUACAAAAUAAAUAGCUUGAAUGGAUUUAGUAUUAAGAACAAAAUAAGAUACGGAAAUUCUAAAGCUACCCUUGUGGAUCGAUUGAUAAAUCCAUGUAAUAUUUUGAUAAAGAGUUAAAUCUGUAAGUACUCUAAAUCUGUAUACGUUGUUUGAGUGCCGUUUAAUUAAGAUACUAGACUAUAUUGGUACACAUAUAUUUGGAUGCUUGUGAUUGGCUGGAAAGAACAGAGACUUAGAUUUGCUGUUGGACUGAACUGAGUAGCUAUAGCCUUCUGGCUGAUGCUUCAGUAUACCAAAACACUUGCUAUUUUUCAUGUUCUUGUACGAGAUGGGUUUAGGACACAAACAAUUAUUUGUUUUAUCUACGAAAAACUUUUUCUUCAAGACUACAGUAUGUUGAAUGCCUUUCGUGCUUAGUUGAAAUAUAAGUACUGCUUGUAUGUGAUUUCAAUCCAGCUUGACCAAUUUUCUUUGCUCUGUUUUUUUCCCUCCCUCUCCACUGAAUAUGACCAUGUUCAAAAUAAAAUGUGCAUUACCACUUAUGAGAGUAGCCGAUAUUUCAUUUUUGUUGGGACUGUUCUUUCUAGGUGUAUAUUCCUUCUCUGAAUGUUUAUUACCAUGGAACUCGAGUAUCCAGUCUGUAUAGCUGUAUACCUCAUUUUAAGAAAAAAAACUUGAGUGUCCAUUAUACAUGAAUGAGUACAUCUAUAAAGUAAAUUGACCACAAUGAGACAUCAGUUUUGUUUACCUUUGAAUAUAAUGAGCACAUGUUGAAGGUUUGCUCAUCCCGCUUUUUCUAUAGCCCGUAUGAGCUUUAGUCGGAGCACUGUGUGUCGAUGAUACAUAUAUUUUCAACUACCUAAGGUCACUUAGUUCUGUGUAAAGUAGAUUGCACUUGGUACAAUUGUUGAUGGAUUGACUUGCUUUCAUUUUUUGAGCCUUAAGCACCUAAUUUAGUUUUGAGUUCUACUCCUCUCAUUUAGACUGCAGGGUAAAUCAUUGCAUUGGAAACUAGAAGUGAAAUGGAAGGUAAGAAUCUCAUUUUGGCAUCCACUAUGGAUACAUGUGGAGAUAGAGAAAGGUAGAUUGAUCAAAAGACUUGCAAAAAUCAAAGAGGAGUAGGGAGAGAUCAAUGAGGUUGCUGAAAUCAUGCAAGAAGUUGCUUUAAGUUUGCACGCGCACUAGAAUUAUGGAUAAACCGUUCAUAUACUGUACUCAUGAUGUGCUCAUCUUGCUGGUGCUCUUUUCUGACAACCUUUAUUUUUUUUCUCAACCAGGAAUUUGAUUCUCAGUUGAAACAUUUGGCCAAUGGCAAAGAUACAGAAACUCAUUUGUUCUGGAGCAGGUAUGUUGCCAAUUGACCACAAAGAAGAUUGCAUUCUUAAAAAAACUUUGUAUAUCAUGGCUACAGGUUCAGAUGUGCCUGGAUCGUGAAAGAUUAUGUGUGUGCACAAAUUUUAUCCAAGAAAGUUAACCCUAGGGUCUUUGAUGCAGAUACAUCAAAGGAAAAAAGGAACUAAAUAAAUGUGACAAUAUGGUUUAGAAAGCCCCAAAGCCGAGGUGAGCCGCCUCCUCCUUUUUGUGCCUUUCCAUGUGGCUCUCCUUCAUAGAAAGCCCCAAUAUACAUCGAAGGAAGCAGAGAGGCGAGAUGUGAUAUGAACCACCAAUCGCCCCUCCAGCGACUAGGCCUUCUCCCUCAUCCUCAGCCCCGCCGUUGCCACUGACGCCUUCGGGAGUAGGGGAGGCAUCAGUGACGUUGCCAACAAGGCAGCG
rnacentral:lncRNA from 1 species